GUCUCUAUGGGGUCUCUAUGGGGCUGGGGGUCUCUAUGGAUCUCUAUGGUGUCUCUACGGGGUUUGGGGUCUCUAUGGGGUCUCUAUGGGGCUGGGGGUCUCUAUGGAUCUCUAUGGUGUCUCUACGGGGUUUGGGGUCCCUAUGGGGUCUCUAUGGGGUCCCUAUGGGGUCUCUAUGGGGCUGGGGGGCUCUAUGGAUCUCUAUGGUGUCUCUACGGGGUUUGGGAUCUCUGUAGGGUCUCUGUAGGGUCUCUGUAGGGUCUCUAUGGGGUCUCUAUGGGGUCUCUAUGGGGUCUCUAUGGGGCUGGGGGUCUCUAUGGAUCUCUAUGGUGUCUCUACGGGGUUUGGGGUCUCUAUGGGGUCUCUAUGGGGUCUCUAUGGGGUCUCUGGUGUCUCUACGGGGUUUGGGGGUCUCUGUAGGGUCCCUAUGGGGUCCCUAUGGGGUCUCUAUGGGGCUGGGGUCUCUAUGGGGUCUCUACGGGGUUUGGGAUCUCUAUAGGGUCCCUGUGGGGUCCCUAUGGGGUCUCUAUGGGGCUGGGGGUCUCUAUGGAUCUCUAUGGUGUCUCUACGGGGUUUGGGGUCUCUAUAGGGUCUCUAUACGGUCUCUAUGGGGUCUCUAUGGGGUCCCUAUGGGGCUGGGGGUCUCUAUGGAUCUCUAUGGUGUCUCUACGGACUUUGGGAUCUCUAUAGGGUCUCUAUGGGGUCUUUAUGGGGUCUCUGUGGGGCUGGGGGUCUCUAUGGGGUCUCUAUGGGGCUGGGGGUCUCUAUGGGGUUUGGGAUCUCUAUGGGGUCUACAUGGGGCUGGGAGGUCUCUGUGGGGUCUCCAUGGGGUCUCUAUGGGGUUUGGGAUCUCUAUGGGGUCUACAUGGGGCUGGGAGGUCUCUGUGGGGUCUCCAUGGGGUCCUCUAUGCGAGUCUAUGGUGUCUCCAUGGGGCUGAGAGGUCUCUAUAGGGUCUCCAUGGGAUCACUAUGAGGUCUCUAUGGGGUCUCUAUGGGCAUCUAUGGGGUCUCUAUGAGGCUGAGAUGUCUCUAUGGGGUCUCCAUGGGGUCUCUGUGAGGCUGGGGGUCUCUAUGGGGUCUCUAUGUGGUCCCUAUGGGGCUGAGAGGUCUCUAUGGAGUCUCCAUGGAGUCUCUAUGGGGCUGGGGGUCUCUAUGGGGUCUCCGUGAGGCUGGGGGUCUCUACGGGGUCUCUAUGGGGUCUCCAUGGGGCUGAGAGGUCUCUAUGGGGUUUCCAUGUGGUCUCUAUGGGGCUGAGAGGUCUCUAUGGGGUCUCUAUGGGUCUCCAUGGGGCUGAGGGGUCCCUAUGGGGUCUCUAUGGGGUCUCAAUGGGGUCUCUGUGAGGCUGGGAGUCUCUAUGGGGUCUCUAUUGGGUGUCUGUGGGGCUGGGAGUUUCCAUGGGGUCUCUAUGGGGUCUGUAAGUGGUUUGGGGUCUCUGUGGGAUAUCUAUGGGGUUUUUAUGGGGUCUCUAUGGGGUUUGGAGUCUCUACGGGGUCUCUAUGGGGUAUGGGGUCUCUAUGGGGUUUGAGGUCUCUAUUGGGGCUCUAUGGGGUCUCCAUGGGGCUGUGAGGUCUCUGUGGGGUCUCCAUGGGGUCACUAUGAGGUCUCUGUGAGGCUGGGGGUCUCUAUGGGGUCUCUAUGGGAGUCUAUGGGGUCUCCAUGGGUCUGAGAGGUCUCCAUGGGGUCUCUAUGGGGCUGAGAGGUCUCUAUGGAGUCUCUAUGGGGUCUCUAUGGGGCUGGGGGUCUGUAUGGAUCUCUAUGGGGUCUCUAUGGGGUCUCUAUGGGGUCUCCAUGUGGUCUCUAUGGGGCUGAGAGGUCUCUAUGGGGUGUCUAUGGGAGUCUAUGGGGUCUCUAAUGGGUCUCUGUGGGUCCCUAUGGGGUCUCUAUAGGGUUUGGGGUCUCC
rnacentral:lncRNA from 1 species